UACAGAGGUCUCAAGCGUUGUUCGGAUUCAUUGGGCGUAAAGGGUGUGUAGGUGGCGCGCUAAGUCGGGUGUGAAAUUUCGGAGCUUAACUCCGAAACUGCAUUCGAUACUGGCGUGCUUGGGGACUGGAGAGGAGACUGGAAUUCAUGGUGUAGCAGUGAAAUGCGUAGAGAUCAUGAGGAAGACCAGUGGCGAAGGCGGGUCUCUGGACAGUUCCUGACACUGAGACACGAAGGCCAGGGGAGCAAACGGG
rnacentral:rRNA from 1 species